rnacentral:rRNA from 1 species
GACGAACGCUGGCGGCGUGCUUAAUACAUGCAAGUCGAACGAACAGGCCCUGCUCUUGUGGCGUGCUCGAUUGGCGAACGGGUGUGUAUCACGUGAGUAACCUGCCCUUGUCUUUGGGAUAACUUCAGGAAACUCGGGCUCUUACCCGAUAGGAUCUCUUGCUGCACGGUGGGGGAUGGUAAGUUUCGGCGGUUGGGGAUGGACUAGCGGCUUAUCCGCUUGUUGGUGGGGUAGUUGCUUACCAAGCCUGUGACGGGUAGGCGGCCUGAGAGGGGGGCCGGGCACAAUGGUACUGAGGUACGGCGCAGAAUCCUACGGGAGGCAGCAGUGGGGAAUAUUGCACAAUGGGCGGAAGCCUGAUGCAGCAACGCCGCGUGCGGGAUGACGGCCUUCGAGUUGUAAACCGCUUUCGCCUGUGACGAAGCGGGAGUGACGGUAAUGGGUAAAGAAGCACCGGCUAACUACGUG